UACGUAGGGUGCCAGCGUUGUUCGGAAUCACUGGGCGUAAAGGGCGUGUAGGCGGAUUGAUAAGUCAGGUGUGAAAUACCACAGCUUAACUGUGGAACUGCGCUUGAAACUAUUAAUCUUGAGUAUGGUAGAGGGUGAUAGAAUUCCUAGUGUAGUGGUGAAAUACGUAGAUAUUAGGAGGAAUACCAGAGGCGAAGGCGAUCACCUGGGCCUGUACUGACGCUAAUGCGCGAAAGCGUGGGGAG
rnacentral:rRNA from 1 species